rnacentral:rRNA from 1 species
UGGCGAACGGGUGAGUAACACGUGGGUAACCUGCCCAUCAGAAGGGGAUAACACUUGGAAACAGGUGCUAAUACCGUAUAACACUAUUUUCCGCAUGGAAGAAAGUUGAAAGGCGCUUUUGCGUCACUGAUGGAUGGACCCGCGGUGCAUUAGCUAGUUGGUGAGGUAACGGCUCACCAAGGCAACGAUGCAUAGCCGACCUGAGAGGGUGAUCGGCCACACUGGGACUGAGACACGGCCCAGACUCCUACGGGAGGCAGCAGUAGGGAAUCUUCGGCAAUGGACGAAAGUCUGACCGAGCAACGCCGCGUGAGUGAAGAAGGUUUUCGGAUCGUAAAACUCUGUUGUUAGAGAAGAACAAGGAUGAGAGUAAAACGUUCAUCCCUUGAC